AAACCAACAGGGAUUGCCUUAGUAGCGGCGAGUGAAGCGGCAAUAGCUCAAAUUUGAAAUCUGGCACCUUCGGUGUCCGAGUUGUAAUUUGAAGAAGGUAUCUUUGGUUUUGGCUCUUGUCUAUGUUCCUUGGAACAGGACGUCACAGAGGGUGAGAAUCCCGUGCGAUGAGAUGCCCAAUUCCAUGUAAAGUUCCUUCGACGAGUCGAGUUGUUUGGGAAUGCAGCUCUAAGUGGGUGGUAAAUUCCAUCUAAAGCUAAAUAUUGGCGAGAGACCGAUAGCGAACAAGUACUGUGAAGGAAAGAUGAAAAGAACUUUGAAAAGAGAGUGAAAAAGUACGUGAAAUUGUUGAAAGGGAAGGGCUUGAGAUUAGACUUGGAAUUUUCCAUUUAUGGAGCUUUCCGGGCCAGCAUCAGUUUGGAUGGCAGGAUAAUUGCGUUGGAAAGUAGCACCACUUCGGUGGUGUGUUAUAGACUUCGUCGAUACUGCCUAUCUAGACUGAGGACCGCGUCUUUGACUAGGAUGCUGGCGUAAUGAUCUUAAGCCGC
rnacentral:rRNA from 1 species